CUCACCCUAGCCUCGGGCCUUUUGCUCUUCUAACGUAAGCUCCAAGGCUUCACGCUCGUUUGAAGAAAAAUAUGACUAUAAUGAGCAGAAAUACUAAACAUCAAAUUCUAUUUCUUUUUUUAUGUUGCUGAUCCACGUUAAGCUACGAUUAGAUGCAAUUGAUCAUCAUCAAGAUACUGUUUCAAACAAUAAUAUAAAAAAAAAAUAUAUGUUGGAUCAAAAAUAGAAAGAAAAAAAUAGAGAGAGAACUAAAGAAAUAACUUUAAUGGCACACCUUAACUCUACCCAUUAAGAAGGACAUGCUAAUCUUUUUCUUAACAACAAAAAAACGAUAUAACUCUGUAAGUCGUUCAGGGAAUAAUGAAGUAAGCGCUUGUUCCCCUUCAUGCAUUGUCU
rnacentral:lncRNA from 1 species